rnacentral:lncRNA from 10 species
UUGUGAUAGUGAGUAAGUCUCAUGAGAUCUGUCACUUUUAUAAGGGCAAGUUUCCUUCCACAAGCUCUGUUUUUUUGCCUGCUGCCAUCCAUUUAAGGUGACUUGCUCCUCCUUGCUUUUCGCCAUUAUUAUGAGGCUUCCCCAGCCACAUGGAACUCCAGAAUAAAGGCCUUUCAUAUUCUUCCACACAAUAUUCAAAAGUUGCUUGACGUACCCUUUGAAGUUCACGGGCACUGCAAAGAAUGCAUUUUUGUAGCUGAUCCAGCUCAAAUGCCCAGAUUCAUCCACAUCUGCAGCUUAUGUCACAGGGCUGGCAGCUAACAGAAACCAUCAGAUCUGCCUUUGUUUUCUUAUCAAAUCAUAUGUGAUAAUGUCACAACCAGUAAGUUGUGUUUUCAGGUAUGUGUUUGUACUGACUUGACAGUGAACCUAAAAAGUGAAAUAAAUAUGAAGAACGAGAAAUUCUAAAUUCUCACCCUUCAGGGGUGUUGGUAUUAUCAAUUUGCCUGUGUUGUCUUUAAACACACACACACACAUACACACACACACACACACACACACACACACAUCUUCUUUAGCUCUGGUGUAUAGAAAAGCAGGACAAAUCCUACAUUGACAAAUUAAUGACAGUAGUAAGCUAAGUCAUUUUAUUUUAUUUUAUUUUAUUUUUCUUUAUUUAUUAUUAUUAUACUUUAAGUUUUAGGGUACAUGUGCACAAUGUGCAGGUUAGUUACAUAUGUAUACAUGUGCCAUGCUGGUGCGCUGCACCCACUAACUCGUCAUCUAGCAUUAGGUACAUCUCCCAGUGCUAUCCCUCCGCCCUCCCCCCACCGCAC